UCAAAGUUUGACUCUAGCUUUAGGUUUAAGUAAAAGAUUAAUUUACAUGUAAAUAUUUGUAUUAGAGACAAUUUUUCUAAAUGAAUAUUAAUAUAAACACAGUAUAUAAAAUUAUAUAUUAAAAUUAUUAGAUAUAGUAAUUUUUAUUAAGAAUAGACUAAGCUUGUGCCAGCAGUCGCGGUUAUACAAUAUAUUCUAUUUAAACAGUUAAAUUUCAAUUAUAAAAUAGCUGAUAUAAUAAUUUAUUAAUUUUGGUGAAAUAUAUUUAUAAUAUUAUUCAUGUUUUUAUGUUUGAGAAACUUUUUUAUUAGACUAGGAUUAGAUACCCUAUUAUUGAAAGCGUAAAAUAUUAAAAUUUGAUUAUUAUUAGUUAUGACCUUUAAAUUCAAAGAAUUUGGCGGUAAUUUAUCUUUUCAGAGGAAUCUGUUUUAUAAUUGAUAAUCCACGAUAGAUUUCACUUUAAAUAUACUUGUAUAUCUCUGUCAAGAAUGUUCUUUAAGGAAAUUUUCAUUUAUUUUAUAUAUAUAAUGUCAGGUCAAGGUGCAGUUUAUUUUAAAGUAAAAAUGGAUUACAUUUUUAUAUUAAUAAAUUAUAUUCUUGCAAGAAUUUUAUGAAAUAGGAUUUGAUAGUAAAUUUAUUAAAUUAAAUUUGUUGAAUAGAGCUCUAAAUUAUGUACACAUCGCCCGUCACUCUCAUUUUAAGAUGAGAUAAGUCGUAACAAAGUAGCUGUACCGGAAGGUGUGGCUAGAAUGU
rnacentral:ncRNA from 1 species